AAAUGCGAUAAGUAAUGUGAAUUGCAGAAUUCAGUGAAUCAUCGAAUCUUUGAACGCACAUUGCGCCCGCCAGAAUUCUGGCGGGCAUGCCUGUUCGAGCGUCAUUUCAACCCUCGAGCUCCCCUUGCGGGGGGAGCCCGGCGUUGGGGACGCGGCGCCAACAGCGCCGGCCCCGAAAUGGAGUGGCGGCCCGUCCGCGGCGACCUCUGCGUAGUAACAUCCACUCGCACCGGGACCCGGGCGCGGCCACGCCGUAAAACACCCCACCUUCCGAAUGUUGACCUCGAAUCAGGUAGGAAUACCCGCUGAACUUAAGC
rnacentral:misc_RNA from 1 species